UACGUAGGGUGCGAGCGUUGUCCGGAAUUAUUGGGCGUAAAGAGCUCGUAGGCGGUUUGUCGCGUCGGCCGUGAAAACUUGGGGCUUAACCCCAAGCCUGCGGUCGAUACGGGCAGACUUGAGUUCGGCAGGGGAGACUGGAAUUCCUGGUGUAGCGGUGAAAUGCGCAGAUAUCUGGAGGAACACCGGUGGCGAAGGCGGCAUCCUGGACCGGUAUUGACGCUGAGGCGCGAAAGCCAGGGGAGCAAACGGG
rnacentral:rRNA from 1 species